rnacentral:rRNA from 1 species
AUUGAACGCUGGCGGCAGGCCUAACACAUGCAAGUCGAGCGGAUGAAGGGAGCUUGCUCCUGGAUUCAGCGGCGGACGGGUGAGUAAUGCCUAGGAAUCUGCCUGGUAGUGGGGGAUAACGUCCGGAAACGGGCGCUAAUACCGCAUACGUCCUGAGGGAGAAAGUGGGGGAUCUUCGGACCUCACGCUAUCAGAUGAGCCUAGGUCGGAUUAGCUAGUUGGUGGGGUAAAGGCCUACCAAGGCGACGAUCCGUAACUGGUCUGAGAGGAUGAUCAGUCACACUGGAACUGAGACACGGUCCAGACUCCUACGGGAGGCAGCAGUGGGGAAUAUUGGACAAAGGGCGAAAGCCUGAUCCAGCCAUGCCGCGUGUGUGAAGAAGGUCUUCGGAUUGUAAAGCACUUUAAGUUGGGGGGAAGGGCAGUAAGUUAAUACCUUGCUGUUUUGACGUUACCAACAGAAUAAGCACCGGCUAACUUCGUG